AAACCAUGAUGGGGGCAAAGCAUAAGCAUUUUUUUGAAACGCUCCCACGCAUCGUAAAGAGAUUCACCAUCUUUUUGAGUGAAUUGUGUAAUUUGACUCCUCAAUUG
rnacentral:snoRNA from 1 species